CGGAAUGUAGCGCAGCCCGGUAGCGCACUUGACUGGGGGUCAAGGGGUCGUCGGUUCAAAUCCGGCCAUUCCGA
rnacentral:tRNA from 2 species